CACCUCCCUGGAAGAAAAAGAACAGGACAUAUGCAAGCUGUUCUUUCUGAAAAGCAGUGUGCUGCGUGAAAAGCUCUGGAUUGGGAACCAGAAGAGUUGAUCGCUUGCCUUGAUCCUUCCCUGUGGUGAUACUAAACUUACUUAACCACAGAUGUGGCACAGGAGCUGACGAUGGCUUCCUGAAAGAGCAAAGGCCUGAGCAGAGGUGAAAAGGAGAAGAGAGGCAUUCCAGGCAGAGGGAGCGUGAACCACAUAAUUGGUGUCUACAGAGGAUGGCAAAUACUUUGGUGUCGCACAAAAGAAACUGAUGGAAGGAGACUGUUCUUGUGACAGAAGAACUAGCACCUUCCUGAGAUUUCAUCUAAGGCAAGGAAAGCCUCUGCAGAGCAGGUUUGAAAGCACAAUGGGAGACAGGACCACAUGGAGUCCAGCUCAUUCGGUAAAGUGAUUACAUUUGAAACCAUGAAA